GAGAAAGUGGGGAAAUGAGGCUGUAGCAUCUAUGGCUCACCAGAAAUCCGAUUUGGCAGUCGGUGGUGGAAGAAGAGGCUGGGAUGGGGGAGUUCACAAGCGGCACCUGAGCUUGUGGCUAGCGGCAAUGGCGGGCGGGGAUUCUUCAAUCCCCACCGGAGGAGCCAUGGCCGGCGCUGCUGAGUGGUGGCGGAUGGAGUUUGGGAUGUGGGGAAGGC
rnacentral:lncRNA from 1 species